UGGGGAAUAUUGCACAAUGGGCGCAAGCUUGAUGCAGCGACGCCGCGUGAGGGAUGACGGCUUUCGGGUUGUAAACCUCUUUCGAUGGGGAACAAGGCCAUAUUUUUGUGUGGUUGAGGGUACCUGUAUAAGAAGCGCCGGCUAACUACGUGCCAGCAGCCGCGGUAAUACGUAGGGCGCGAGCGUUGUCCGGAAUUAUUGGGCGUAAAGAGCUCGUAGGCGGCUUGUCGCGUCUGCUGUGAAAACGCGGGGCUUAACUCCGCGCUUGCAGUGGGUACGGGCAGGCUUGAGUGUAGUAGGGGAGACUGGAAUUCCUGGUGUAGCGGUGGAAUGCGCAGAUAUCAGGAGGAACACCGAUGGCGAAGGCAGGUCUCUGGGCUAUUACUGACGCUGAGGAGCG
rnacentral:rRNA from 1 species